rnacentral:rRNA from 1 species
GAUGAACGCUGGCGGCGUGCCUAAUACAUGCAAGUCGAGCGAACGGACGAGAAGCUUGCUUCUCUGAUGUUAGCGGCGGACGGGUGAGUAACACGUGGAUAACCUACCUAUAAGACUGGGAUAACUUCGGGAAACCGGAGCUAAUACCGGAUAAUAUUUUGAACCGCAUGGUUCAAAAGUGAAAGACGGUCUUGCUGUCACCUAUAGAUGGAUCCGCGCUGCAUUAGCUAGUUGGUAAGGUAACGGCUUACCAAGGCAACGAUGCAUAGCCGUCCUGAGAGGGUGAUCGGCCACACUGGAACUGAGACACGGUCCAGACUCCUACGGGAGGCAGCAGUAGGGAAUCUUCCGCAAAGGGCGAAAGCCUGACGGAGCAACGCCGCGUGAGUGAUGAAGGUCUUCGGAUCGUAAAACUCUGUUAUUAGGGAAGAACAUAUGUGUAAGUAACUGUGCACAUCUUGACGGUACCUAAUCAGAAAGCCACGGCUAACUACGUG